GGUGGAGUGAUUUGUCUGGUUAAUUCCGAUAACGAACGAGACUCUAGCCUGCUAACUAGUUCGCCGGCAGCUCUUGUCGCGCGGCGCCGCUUCGGCGGCAAACUUCUUAGAGGGACAGGUGGCGUUUAGCCACACGAAGUAGAGCAAUAACAGGUCUGUGAUGCCCUUAGAUGUCCGGGGCCGCACGCGCGCUACACUGAAAGAAUCAACGUGGAUGCCCACCUGCUCCGAGAGGAGUGGGAAACCCGAUGAAUCUCUUUCGUGAUGGGGAUUGGGGCUUGUAAUUGUUCCCCAUGAACGAGGAAUUCCUAGUAAGCGUCAGUCAUCAGCUGGCGCUGAUUAC
rnacentral:rRNA from 1 species